AUGAACGCUGGCGGCGUGCCUAAUACAUGCAAGUCGAGCGAACAGACGAGGAGCUUGCUCCUCUGACGUUAGCGGCGGACGGGUGAGUAACACGUGGAUAACCUACCUAUAAGACUGGGAUAACUUCGGGAAACCGGAGCUAAUACCGGGUAAUAUAUUGAACCGCAUGGUUCAAUAGUGAAAGACGGUUUUGCUGUCACUUAUAGAUGGAUCCGCGCCGCAUUAGCUAGUUGGUAAGGUAACGGCUUACCAAGGCAACGAUGCGUAGCCGACCUGAGAGGGUGAUCGGCCACACUGGAACUGAGACACGGUCCAGACUCCUACGGGAGGCAGCAGUAGGGAAUCUUCCGCAAUGGGCGAAAGCCUGACGGAGCAACGCCGCGUGAGUGAUGAAGGUCUUCGGAUCGUAAAACUCUGUUAUUAGGGAAGAACAAAUGUGUAAGUAACUAUGCACGUCUUGACGGUACCUAAUCAGAAAGCCACGGCUAACUACGUG
rnacentral:rRNA from 1 species